AAAAUAUUAUCUUAUUAAUUUAUCGAUUUGUGUCAUUUUUUACAUU
rnacentral:sRNA from 1 species